rnacentral:rRNA from 1 species
UGAGUACGAGAUGCUACGGCAUCGAAGCAGUCUAUGUCAUACUUCCAAGAAAAGCUUGCACUGUCAUAAACAAAGAAUGCCUGUACCAUAACCGACACAGGUGGGUAGGUAGAGUAUACUAAGGGGCGCGAGAUAACUCUCUCUAAGGAACUCGGCAAAAUGACUCCGUAACUUCGGGAGAAGGAGUGCCUUAUUUCUAAGGUUGCAAUAACAAGAUCCAAGCAACUGUUUACCAAAAACACAGGUCUCCGCUAAGUCGUAAGACGAUGUAUGGGGGCUGACGCCUGCCCAGUGCCAGAAGGUUAAAGAAGUUGGUUAGCAUUAGCGAAGCUGAUAACUGAAGCCCUGGUGAACGGCGGCCGUAACGAUAACGGUCCUAAGGUAGCGAAAUUCCUUGUCGGGUAAGUUCCGACCCGCACGAAAGGCGUAAUGAUUUGGAUACUGUCUCGGAGAGGGGCUCGGUGAAAUAGACUUGUCUGUGAAGAUGCGGACUACCUGCACCUGGACAGAAAGACCCUAUGAAGCUUUACUGUAACUUGAGAUUGAAAUUGGACUUUAUUUGCGCAGUAUAGGUGGGAGGCGUUGAGAAUAAUCUUGCGGGAUUGUUGGAGCCAUCAGUGAGAUACCACUCUUGUAAUGUUAGAUUUCUAACUUUGUAUCAUUAUCUGGUCAAAGAACAGUUUCAGGCGGGCAGUUUGACUGGGGCGGUCGCCUCCCAAAGGGUAACGGAGGCGCACAAAGGUUUCCUCUGAACGGGUAGAAAUCGUAUCUAGAGUGUAAAGGCAUAAGGAAGCUUGACUGUGAGACCUACAAGUCGAGCAGGGACGAAAGUCGGUCUUAGUGAUCUGACGGUGCUGAGUGGAAAGGCCGUCACUCAACGGAUAAAAGUUACUCUAAGGAUAACAGGCUGAUCUCCCCCAAGAGUUCACAUCGACGGGGAGGUUUGGCACCUCGAUGUCGGCUCAUCGCAUCCUGGGGCGGUAGUCCGUCCCAAGGGUUGGGCUGUUCGCCCAUGAAAGCGGUACGCGAGCUGGGUUCAGAACGUCGUGAGACAGUUCGGUCCAUAUCCGGUGUAGGCGUUAGAAUAUUGAGAGGAGCCUUCUCUAGUACGAGAGGACCGAGAAGGACAUACCUCUGGUGUACCAGUUAUCGUGCCAACGGUAAACGCUGGGUAGCUAUGUAUGGAGUGGAUAACCGCUGAAAGCAUCUAAGUGGGAAGCCCACCUCAAGAUAAGUAUUCUC